rnacentral:rRNA from 1 species
UGAGUACGAGAUGCUACGGCAUCGAAGCAGUCUAUGUCAUACUUCCAAGAAAAGCUUGCACUGUCAUAAACAAAGAACGCCUGUACCAUAACCGACACAGGUGGGUAGGUAGAGUAUACUAAGGGGCGCGAGAUAACUCUCUCUAAGGAACUCGGCAAAAUGACUCCGUAACUUCGGGAGAAGGAGUGCCUUAUUUCUAAGGUUGCGAUAACAAGAUCCAAGCAACUGUUUACCAAAAACACAGGUCUCCGCUAAGUCGUAAGACGAUGUAUGGGGGCUGACGCCUGCCCAGUGCCAGAAGGUUAAAGAAGUUGGUUAGCAUUAGCGAAGCUGAUAACUGAAGCCCUGGUGAACGGCGGCCGUAACAAUAACGGUCCUAAGGUAGCGAAAUUCCUUGUCGGGUAAGUUCCGACCCGCACGAAAGGCGUAAUGAUUUGGAUACUGUCUCGGAGAGGGGCUCGGUGAAAUAGACUUGUCUGUGAAGAUGCGGACUACCUGCACCUGGACAGAAAGACCCUAUGAAGCUUUACUGUAACUUGAGAUUGAAAUUGGACUUUAUUUGCGCAGUAUAGGUGGGAGGCGUUGAGAAUAAUCUUGCGGGAUUGUUGGAGCCAUCAGUGAGAUACCACUCUUGUAAUGUUAGAUUUCUAACUUUGUAUCAUUAUCUGGUCAAAGAACAGUUUCAGGCGGGCAGUUUGACUGGGGCGGUCGCCUCCCAAAGGGUAACGGAGGCGCACAAAGGUUUCCUCUGAACGGGUAGAAAUCGUAUCUAGAGUGUAAAGGCAUAAGGAAGCUUGACUGUGAGACCUACAAGUCGAGCAGGGACGAAAGUCGGUCUUAGUGAUCUGACGGUGCUGAGUGGAAAGGCCGUCACUCAACGGAUAAAAGUUACUCUAGGAUAACAGGCUGAUCUCCCCCAAGAGUUCACAUCGACGGGGAGGUUUGGCACCUCGAUGUCGGCUCAUCGCAUCCUGGGGCGGUAGUCCGUCCCAAGGGUUGGGCUGUUCGCCCAUGAAAGCGGUACGCGAGCUGGGUUCAGAACGUCGUGAGACAGUUCGGUCCAUAUCCGGUGUAGGCGUUAGAAUAUUGAGAGGAGCCUUCUCUAGUACGAGAGGACCGAGAAGGACAUACCUCUGGUGUACCAGUUAUCGUGCCAACGGUAAACGCUGGGUAGCUAUGUAUGGAGUGGAUAACCGCUGAAAGCAUCUAAGUGGGAAGCCCACCUCAAGAUAAGUAUUCUCAUC